GUAGGAGGAGAGGCACUUUUUGACACAUGCAAGGGGGAAAAAAAGGAGAAGAAUUACAUGGAGGGUAUAAGAUGCUGUAGGAGCACUGUAGCUAUAGUUGGAGGCAGAAAUUUCAUAGUCUAUCCUAGUGAAUAACAACUGCAGAAAUAUAAUAACUAUGAGGAGUCGAGUGAUUAAGGCACUGGCCUGAGUCUCAGCAGACCUGGAUUUGGUUCCUGGCUGUUUUCAGAUUUCUGUCUGACUUUUGGCAAGCCUCUUCAACUCUCUGCGCCUUGGUUUCCCAUCUGUUAAAGAGGAAUAAUAAUAUUUCCUUUCUUUCCUGUCUAUUCCAGCAGCAAUCUCUUCUGGGCAGGCAGUCUCUUUCAUGGUGUGUACGGGACUUUGCCCUUGGAUUUUGAUACCGGCCCCAAAGCAGGAAGUAGGAAUGGGGAGCACCAUGCCAUGGAAGCCCACUCCUUAAUCAUUUCCCAUUCAUAAGGGCAUAAAAGUCGUGCCACAACUUGUUAAAUAGAGUUCUUAAUAUCAGUUCUUCCAGGAAAAAAGAAAAAAUACCAAUCAGUCAGUUAGAGAAGGCAAGUGAUUCACAUCUCUGUUAAGAUUUCUAAGUCUGAAUGUAUCUUCUGAAGUAGAAAUAUUCCAGUUUGGAAGAACAGAGAAAACAUUAGCCAUGGCACAAAAGCAGAGUGUUGGCCUUCUCUAUUUCUGAUCUUGCUCCUGUAAAUGUCUGGCUGCUUUAUGUAGACUGAGCUUUCCAGCAUUUCUCACUGACAAGGCAUCUUCUUGAGGCACACAGUGGUAUCCUGACAUGCCCGUGCUCCUGCCCAUCUGGUAGGGUGAAGUUGUGCCCACUCAGAGGCACACACACCCUACAAGAGAGACUGGGUGAUAUCAGUUGCUGAGCACUGGUUGAAGAGAGCAACCAGCAAAUAUACAAAAGUAAAUCUCAGCUGCAGAGGCUUUCUGGUAAUAAGCAGUCCCAAUUAGAAAUGCAAAUGUCACUGAAAAGGAGCGUGUGUGUUGACAGUAGACUUUGAGGAAAGCUUUGGGUUUAGUGCUAGUAAAUUAAUCUUUAAUUAUGAGCACACCUCACUUCUGAAAGAGGUGCCUUGCACUCACAGAACUGACAGCAUGUGAAAGUUUCAGGCUGCUGCUUUCUUCUGUCAAAUGGAACAUCUCACCCCAAAAGAGCAGAGGAGAACCUUGCUGGCUGCCUGUGGACUUAGUGCUCUGUGAGCUGGGGCUGGCCAGUGUCAUUGACUCCCCAGACAACCAGGAGUCACCAACCCGUUAAAAAUAUUGGUCUUAAAACAUUAUGUCUCACAUGCUCUUGAUAAAUAUAAACAUCUAGAUGAAGAAUUGUCAAAGUUUGGGAAAGAAAAACAGUCCUUGCUCCUGCAGUUCUCUCCUUCCCUGGCUGGUCUGCCUGCCCUCCAUGCAGAGCACACUUCUCUGGCAGAGGGAGGACCACACCAUACUACAGCAAACCCUUCUCCAGGCCAGCCAUGAGAAUGUUCAACACCUCCACUCCUGGGCUGGCUGGAUUAUUAAAACAACAUUUCCACUUCCAAGUAAGUAAAUAAAUCUCACUGGCAAGUUUGUUUUGUGUCAGCCAACAUCUUAUCUCCCUGAAAACUGGGCUGGUGUCCUGCAAAGCUGAAAACUGUAUAGUUUAAAACAUGAGUGCAACAGCCAAGAGAUACACCAGAUCCAUCUUCUGAGGUAGCAGAUACAUUGAAAUAAGCAAAUGCAUUCUAGAAAUCCUAUUAUUAAAGUUACAAAAAUAAUGUUGUUUCUUUAAGUUUGAAGUUAUGAACCUUUGCUGUCAUUUUUCCCAGCAAGCUUUUGUUUUUUCAGCCUAGAGCUAAAAAGCUUUGCCCCAACAGCUUUGUUGCCCAAAAGAGGCUGUUCUGCAAACCCACCUCAAAAGGCCCAGAACACCUGGUUUCAGGCACAACAGGAAGAGCAGAACAUACCUUAUCAUAAAUAUGCAUAUGCGACGCAGGAGCCCGCCACCUUCUUGGAGUGAUGCCAUAAUUGAUGGAACAAAGUACAACAAAACUUCACAUCACUGGUGGAUCAGAAGAACAGAGGAGAGCUCCUGAAAUGCAAGCAAAGGCCAACUCCAGACAUCACUCUGGGUUUGUGAGAGGAAGGUGAUGCAGAGGAGUCUAAUUCAUGAACAAUUAUCACCCUUUGAUAAGACACCAUCUGGACCCAGGUGCCUGGCUUCAAUUCCCCAACAAACACUUGGGAAUUCCUCUCCAAAUAAACCACUGGUGUAACAGGAAAGCAGAACUGUCAGCUCCAGUGAAGUUGUGCCUCCUUCCAUCAGCACCGAGUGUAUCUCACUCCUUCAACCAAGAAGGAAAAAACUGUGAAAGGCAGUAAAAUGCCAGCAACCACUACUGAAAGAGCCAGCUCAUCUGAGGUAUGAGUCACUUCCAUCGAAAGAGGAGGAUGCCUUGAUCUGUGUGCGAGCGAGCUUUGGAGCAGCAGCUGUUGGAGCAAACACAAACAUCCAUGCCAAGGAUUGUAAGGAUGGAGUUUAUCUAAUAUGUAAAAAACCACCUGCUGCAAAUGAAAAAUUACACCCACAACCACCUGAAUAAGAUAAGCAAAUGAUGGGGGAAAUGAAGAGACGGAUUUAUUAUUAAUGUAAGUUGGAACUUUUGAACCAAAUACCUCUUUUGCAAUGGAACAGUAGGAUGCACAAGGAAAUAGCACUCUUUGCCCCAGACCUGCUCAGCAGCAUUUAUUUUGCCUAAGUGAUUUUCUUUUCUUUGCUAAGUCUGGUAGAGAUGAAAACACUAACCCAAAGAAGAUAAUUAAAAGCUAAAUGAAACCACAUACAGCUGUGCUACUACAUGGCUAAUGAACAUGCAAAUAUAUACAUAUGACAAGGACAUAAUGCGGGCUGGCUGCCUUGAGUGCUUAGUGCAGAUUUCCAAGAGCUGGAAAUGCUAUUGAUUAUAACUGAGCUAAACUUCCUGACUCCAGACUUCAAAGAUCAGUCUCAAUAUAAUCAUCAGGCAGCAUUCGGGAGUGUGGCUGCAAGGAGCUGAUGAAUAAUGGCUCGGGGGCCUGAAUGUUUGCACAUAGGGUGGGAGGUGUCCUGGAGAUGUCCUGUGGGCUGUGGAGUGCAGGCUCCUUGGCAGCCAGCACCAGCACCACAGAAUCCUCCUCAGCAUCUUGGCAAUACUCGGUCCUGCUGACAAUUAGGGUUUUGGAGUUACAGGUUUUAGCUGGGAUAUUUAUUUUUCCUUUCCCACUUCACUUGGCAAGAGGUUGAUAUUGGUGGAGACAUUUUUGGGAGGACCAGGGACGGAGGAACUGAUACGAGGCAAAGCUUCUGGGGUCCUAUAAACAGGAGCACGAGCAGCAUGGAAAGGCUGUCCUCUGAGGGUCUGCUGCCACAUCCACAUGAAAGAAGACAAAUCUGACUUCCCUUAUUAGUUAAAAAAAAACCACCCAGCUGAGAGUAACUCCCCAGCCCAUUCAGAGAUGAGACAAGGAAGUCAGGGCUCAGCCCUGCACCAAGUUCUCCCACAGAAAGAACCUGGUCCCACUGCCACCUUGUGCUCCUUUCACUGGCCACAGCACCACUGGGUGAUUCCAGUGAAUCACUUUGUGAUUCCACUGGGGAUAUCACAGAGACAGAGCAAAACUCACUCCUUCUCCAUGAUGACCACAGAAAGGCCACACAGACUUGGGCAUGGCCACAGGCAGGAGAACAGCAUGGAGGGAUGGAGGACAACCUUAGACGUGGGUGGAGAUGACUGAUCCACCAGGAUGGCUGAGAGAAGGGGCACCUACCAAAAAAAGAAACCAAAGAAACCAAAUUUGUGCAGAACACAAUGGUUAGUGCAUAAAAAUUAAUCAAGUACUACAAUGACUAGCUUUAUUCAUAAUACUUAAUGGUCAUGUAAUAGGAGUUUUUAUUCAGCAGUUAAAGUUCAUAAGUGCAGGUUUUACAUGUAGAAAGGUAUUAUGCUGAUAGUUUAAUUACACACCUUUCUGCACACCAAAGGAAAUGGGUUAUGCGGGUUUUAUAAUUAAAGACGGACUUCUGAGGGGAAAUGAACUUGGCAGUUAGCAACAUAAUAUUUGAUUUUUAUCAGAUGUUUUUGUUUUGAAUUCGCCAGCACUCGGUGGUGGUGUAAACAGGUGAGAGUGCUCCAGACUGCAUGAGGUGUUGGGAGAGGCUGUGAAAAUGCAGCAGAAAGUAGCCAUAUUUAAAAAUAGCCAGUGUGAGCAUGAGGUAUAAACAUCAUGUGUUUGGAAAGCUCUCCAGACUCUGCCCAUGCAAUUAUGCACAGUGCAAGUCUGUCCAGUACGUCUAGGAAACAGGGGAAAAAAACCCAGCCCAACAAGUAAGUGAAAAAUAAACCCCAGUGCUUGCCAAAAUAAUAAAAAACUUCACUUUUUAUUUCUCUGAUUUUUGUUUUAAAUUCAUUUCAUGGCCCGUGAAUACAAUUUUCCCCUCCUGCCUGCCUACAGAGGCAGCAAAGCCAAAAAUGUGAUGGAUGUUUGUGUGUGCACGUUUGCCGUUGGAAUACACAGAACCACUCUCAAAAUUAAAGGCAGAGUGGUGUGAGCCACUGCCAGGUCACGGCCAGCUCCUGCCAUUCCCUAAUAACCAUAUGGGUGCCUGUACCCAACAAGGUGGGGCUGGGGAGGUCUGCAGUGCCUGGGAUUCCCCCUUUUCAAGUUUUAGGAGGCUUUUAUUUAGCAUAACCUCAUUCUUAUAUACAUAUCAAAGCACAUUAAAAGAAUAUAUGGGAAUAUAUUUCUAUAUAUAUAUUUUUAUAUAUGUAUAUAUUUAUAAACUGCUAGGAGACAUCAAUUUAUUUAUAAACUACUAGGAGUAAUCCAUUUUUUUAACACAGCAAAUACACCUACAAGAAUUUUUCUAAAGUCUAAAAUAUUUCAAACAUCACCAACUGCUCCUCCCCUCGUGUGAUAUAAACUGACAGGCUCAGGCUUUUAUUGUGCCCAGCCCAAAUGAACAUUAACUAGCGGGUUGAACAAAAAAAAGCCCCAACCAAACAAAACCAACAAAAAAACCCCAAAGCCAAAAGAAGAAAACAAAAGCCUUUCCAAAAACAAUAAGCAAGGGCAAGGCCUGAAGUAUUUUGAGCACGCCCUUUCCUUUCUGGCAGGACUGGGAGUGACUGCCCUGGAUAUUAUGGUUUGUUGGUGAAGGUGGGGUCCAGGUGAUGGCAGACAGUGCUGCCUGGGACAGGGGUCCCUUGGCUGGCAACAGCUCCUGGGGCACUCUGGACCUACCCAGAACAUCUGAAAUCAGGCAUUUCACAGCCAAGUACAGAGGAAUGAUUAAAAAAUCCUUUUAACGGGUGUGGACACUCAACAAUUAUAACGGGAAUAGCUGUGUAAAGAGUGCAUCCAAAUAUAACCGGACAUUUUUUUGAAUUUUGUUGGCUAACUGCAUAAAUUAAUGACAAUGAGAAAGAACUGUAACUGUUUUUCUCUAAUUAAAUCCAUACAUUUUGGCUCUACUCAUCAUCGUUAACAUACUGUUAAAAGUGCUGUUGCUGUAUCUUUCAACCCUCAGCCUGCAAUCAAGCCCAACUGCACUGUGGUGGAUUUCAAACAGUCACUUGUUUAAAAAUAGAAAGUGGGUUUUUUUAAAAAAAAAAAAAAAACAACUGGCUGCCAACUGAAUGCAAACAGGUAAAAAUUAACAUAUGCAAUUGUCAAGUGUCAGAUUCAGCUCCUGAGGCACCAAGGUUUACAUUGCCUGGUGAGGGGCUCACAGCACUUUAAGGCUGUAUUGCCCACAGGCUGAAGUUGUGCAAAUGAAUAUAUAUCCUUAAUUUUUAUUUAAGUUGCAGUGUGCUUUUUGUGUGGGUACCAUCAUUUUCUCUUUAUAAUCUCCAAAUUUCAACGAAAUAUCCCAUAAUCCCAGAGUUUACAGAUCAGCCUCCACAGGGUAAAUUCAGAGUGUACCACAAGGUUACAGAGAGAUGCUUUCCAUGAUACCCUUUCCUACCAUUGGCAUGAUUUCUCCAUCCUUGCAACUGCUCCAUUUUUUUUUAAGUCUAACAAGGGUAAUUGUAACAGGAUUAACAGAUUUCCCCCCCCCCCCACACUACCUCAUAUCAAGGACAGCAUUAGACCAGAGCUGUGAUUAGAUGUGUUUUUACUGUAUAUGGAAAUGUAUUAAAAUUAAUGUAUGGCUCAGCCACAUUUGCCAUCCACUGUUCUGUUCUGUAAAGCCACUUCUCCCAUGAAGGGCAACCACGUGUGAAGGGAGAGCAUCUAAAUAAAUAUUUUGCAAACAUUUGAGAGAGAGAGAUACAAAUAGCCCCGUGCAAUCACACCAUCUUACCUCAAAUACCCACUCAAAACCGAAAUAAUUCCUUGCUGAACAAGCCAAGCCUGGCUCCCUAAACCGGGAGGAAUUGUGAUGCUGGUAAACUUGCAGAAAUAUUUUUACAAUUUUAUUAGAGGUUUUAAUUCAGUGCUUUAUCUACCUCUGUUAGUCUGCAAAAUAGCUUUAAAUAUUCAAGUGGUAAUUAAUGAAUCUUUUAUGUUGCAAAUCAAACAUUUUCAUCUGCGCUGUGGUACAGUGGCAGUGAGAAGGAGGGGUUUAAAGUGUAAUUGUUUCUCCUGUUCCCCUCGCAGCGCUGAAUGCCUUUUUACCCUUUAUUAUAUCAUUGGCUUUUGCUUCAGUUCAUCAGCACUUCGCCACAUCUUAUCGGUCGAUAUUUGCUGUCUUUUAUUUAAUUUUUUUUUUCAGUGCAAGAUUUCUUACCGUGCCUUUGCCAGAGACAUUCCUAAGGAGAUGGAAACUCUCUGAAUGUGGAAUUUUCGCAUGAGUGCAAAAUAAUAAAAAGCAUGUGUGUAUUAAAAAGGGAUCAACUUAAUGGGAAAUGAGCAUUGGGUUACAUUAAUAUUCUAUUACAGUAAAAAUCAUAUUUAAUAAAUUUUCUCCAGAUUUUUCAGGACCUUACUGUAUUUUUCUAAGUCGGAUGCCAAUCCAAAGAAACAGUGUAUAUGAUACAUUUGAUUUAUGUUAAGUAAAUAACCUGCACAGCCCAUUUUUCAGUUAAAAAAAAAAAAUAUUAAGUGUAGAAACACACACCAGACUGAAAUGUGUGCUUAGUUUCCAUCUGCUAGAAGGAAUAGUGUUGGUCUUGUGCAGCAGAAAGCCUUUAUAAACAGUAUUCUAUUUUAUUGAUGCUAUAUGUGGAUUUUUAUGUUAUGUGGCAAGCGAAGGAGAAUGAAAACACUGUAAUUUAUCCAAAACCAUAAAAUUAUACUAGUACUAAAGUAAUUACUUCACAUAUUAAAAUACAGUUUCCUUUGCUUUCUUUUGUCAUCACAUAAAACGAGGCGUUGAGCGCGGCAGGGCCGGGGCUGCUCUUGCCUCCACAAAGGAUUGACACAUCCCGGAUCAGACACUAUAUCACCCGACCCUUGUUGUUCUGUGACCCUAAUUAAUAUUAUACUCGCUGACAUUUAUGUAUCAGAGCAAUAAGCUAAACAGGAAACAAUUUAUGUCACCUAAAGCUUUUUAACAAAUCGAUGCAACUAUUUGUAAUUGCUUGUUUCACAAGAUUAAAAGUACUCAGCCUUGAUCUUCGCCCACAGUUUUGUGGCCAACAUGACCUGUGCUUCCGUUGUAAAAUAGGAGAGUUAGUGAUCAGCACCUAUUUCCAUCAAGUAAUCCAUAUUGCUAAUAUUUCUGGAAUUUUAAUGUAGUUACAAUUUAUAGCCGAUCAAAUGUGGUUACCUAAAUUGCUGUUGCUAGUAGACAGUUUAACUGUCUUUAUUAAUUACAGUAUAAUUUAAUGUUUGAGUACAGGCACUUGUGUUGGUCAUUUUUACAGCCAAAGCAGUUAUGUGCCUUAUGACGAACCAUUUUAGCAUUUUCAAUGGAAAUUUGCUAAUAUGAUGAGUGAUAAAAAUGUCAAACUCUGGUAAAUAAUGGUUAUUGCUUUGGCUGGAAUUAAUUCUUGAAAGGACGGUUACCUUCAAAUUAACAUUAUAACUUGAAGAAAAAAAAUGUUUUUCAUGCUUCUGAGAGGCAUAAAAAGUGGUCGCUGGGCUCCUCUAAAUAAAUACAGACAAAGUGGCACAAAAUGGGUUUUUUUUCCCCCUUUUUCUAUAAGUUGACAAAGAAAAUUCCCGUGGAAGAAAGGAGGAGGGAUUGGUAAAUAGCCUGAGGGGAUGCUGCCUACCAUUUCCAGCUCGUGUGCUUUGAGGAUCUCUAGCCAAGGUAAUAAAACGGGGCAAAAAUAAGGACUUUGCUAUGCCCCAGCUCCAGGGUUUGGGGAAAAACGAGGUGUGGACACCAUGGAGGCUGCAAACACACCUGAGGGCCAUGUCCCACCACCUCACUCAUCCCUGCUGGGGAGAAUGGUGGCUUGUGGCUAUGUGAGGAUGAACGUGCCAGAAUUAACCACACUGCUACCAGCGUGAAAGAUAGCCCUGAUUAACACACCAUUAAAUGAACAUUUAACAUCAUCACUGAAGACUGAGCCUGAUUAAUAGGUCAAGAAGAAUUAAUUACACCUUGUUGUCAGGAGGGGUGUGUGUAUGUGUGGCUGCGUGCAAGUGAGCGGCACCAGGAAUUGCCAGUCCCUUGAAUUAGACCAAUAAUGUGAAGUUUGUCAGACUCUGUGACCACGGCCCAAGUUAGAUGUCACUGAUGGGAUCUGCAGGGAGCAGGAGGGUGUGCAAGGAGCACGUCAGCUGCCAUGUCCUCCUGGGCCUCCAGCUCCUGAGCUUUUUCCCUCUGGGACAGGAGAAACCCAGAAAAACUACUCACAGGCUCCAGUUUUCUUUGGAAAUUCCUCAGAGAUGCAUUGCCUCACCACUGCCAAUAAAAGUGCUUUUCAGCUGUGGUAGAAAACAGCGUUUCUGCCUGGAAAAGGUAUUUCCCAGCUGGCUGUUGCUGGUGGAGUAGAAGGCAUUGUGUGAUGUUCCGUGGUGGAGCAGCCAGGGAGGAGAAAUAUGAUUAAUCAAAAAUGAUACAGAAGGUGGCCAAGAGCCAGAUUCCCAUCCGCUGCUCCAGGCAGCACUGACUGGGACAGGAGGGGAAAUGAUGGUCCUGCUGCUCAGCUCAGUGCCAGCUCCUCGGCACAAGCUCCAUGUGGCACCCACCAGCAGCUCCCCUUAAGCCCAAGCCCACGAUCAGUCAGCAGAUGACAAACGUGACAUUUGGAACCCCAAAUGAACUUUUUGAGGUGAGAUGCCCAGGGAGGUGGAGCAGCCAAUUCAUCUGUGAUGACCUUGUAGCCCCUGACCUGCCUGCUGAUGGCCUGUGUGGGGACACAAGUGACCAGUGUGGGGACACACUGUCCUGCAAGAGAGGGGCUGGGGGCCCUGCUGGGCUCAUCCAGGGACACGUUUCCUACCUGCAGCUGACUGCCCCCAUUUCACAGAUGCACACCACACCAAACAGCAGCUCCUGGCUCAAUCCCCUCUGCCCGUGACUUUGGAAAAUUUAAUCCCACAAAUCCUCUCCAGUUUACUAAAAUCUCACUGGUGAUGGAAGUGCACCACACAAGCAAGGCCGAAUUUGUAUUCUCUGUAUUUUGAUUAUUAAAAUCUAUCAGUCUGUACCAUUUGGAGACACACUAUAAUGAGUGUGCAAAGUUCCCCUCGCCCUCCCCCCAAAAAAUAGUUAUCUGGUAUAAUUUUAUGAUAGAAUAUUUUUAUAAAAUCAUUUGUACUAAUUUAAGCAUUUAUCAUUAUAUGCAAAAAGAUUUCUUGAUGAGAAUAUUAUAGACGGUGCAUGUUUUUGACAUUAGCAUUUUAUUUGGAUGACUAAUCUUGCAGAUGUGAAAUUUUAAUGAAUUAUUCAUGAAAAAUCUCUCCUCUGAAAUUUCAGUUUGCUGCUAAUGCUAGUUAUUAAACAUUUUAUUUUUCUUUACAAAACUUGAUGAGGAAAAUAAAUGUGUGCUUACUCGAAA